rnacentral:rRNA from 1 species
GACGAACGCUGGCGGCGUGCCUAAUACAUGCAAGUUGAGCGAUGAAGAUUGGUGCUUGCACCAAUUUGAAGAGCAGCGAACGGGUGAGUAACGCGUGGGGAAUCUGCCUUUGAGCGGGGGACAACAUUUGGAAACGAAUGCUAAUACCGCAUAACAACUUUAAACAUAAGUUUUAAGUUUGAAAGAUGCAAUUGCAUCACUCAAAGAUGAUCCCGCGUUGUAUUAGCUAGUUGGUGAGGUAAAGGCUCACCAAGGCGAUGAUACAUAGCCGACCUGGGAGGGUGGUCGGCCACAUUGGGACUGAGACACGGCCCAAACUCCUACGGGAGGCAGCAGUAGGGAAUCUUCGGCAAUGGACGAAAGUCUGACCGAGCAACGCCGCGUGAGUGAAGAAGGUUUUCGGAUCGUAAAACUCUGUUGGUAGAGAAGAACGUUGGUGAGAGUGGAAAGCUCAUCAAGUGACGGUAACUACCCAGAAAGGGACGGCUAACUACGUG